UUUCCGUAGGUGAACCUGCGGAAGGAUCAUUACCGAGUGAGGGCCCUCUGGGUCCAACCUCCCACCCGUGUUUAUUAUACCUUGUUGCUUCGGCGGGCCCGCCUCACGGCCGCCGGGGGGCACCUGCCCCCGGGCCCGCGCCCGCCGAAGACACCAUUGAACUCUGUCUGAAGAUUGCAGUCUGAGCAGAUUAGCUAAAUCAGUUAAAACUUUCAACAACGGAUCUCUUGGUUCCGGCAUCGAUGAAGAACGCAGC
rnacentral:misc_RNA from 1 species